rnacentral:rRNA from 1 species
GCUAAAAACCUAGUCCUACUGACUCCUAUGAGCCCCCAACAUUUUUUCCGAAUAAAUAAAACAUUUUUUAUUUUAAGUAAAGGAGAUUGAAAAAUUUUUUAGGAACUACAAUAAAAGUACCGCAAGGGAAAGGUGAAAUAGAAGUGAAAUAAAAAUAAAGCAUAAUAAAGCAGAGCCACACCUCGUACCUUUUGCAUCAUGGUUUAGCUAGUAAAAUCAAGCAAAAAGAAUUUUAGUUUGACCCCCCGAAACCAGGCGAGCUACUUCAAAACAGCCUAUUUAGGGCCAACCCGUCCCUGUUACAAAAGGGUGGGAAGAUUUUCAAGUAGCGGUGACAGACCUACCGAGCCUGGAGAUAGCUGGUUAUUUAGGAAAAGGAUUUUAGUCCUACCUUAAGUCUUUAAAAUAUCAAAAUAUUACCGUAAGACUUAAGAGCUACUCAAAUAAGGUACAGCCUAUUUGACACAGGAAACAACCUAAAACACAGGGUAACAUAUUGCGGCACGUGCUCAAGUGGGCCUAAAAGCAGCCAACUUUUAAAAAGCGUUAAAGCUUCACCACCAGCCCCUCUAAUUCUUUAACUUACCUAAAACCCUUAUUCAGUACUAAAUAAUUCUAUUACCUUAUAGAAGAGAUUAUGCUAAAACUAGUAACAAGAAGAAGUCCUUCUCCUAAAUGCACGUGUAGGCCAAAAAGAACCAAUCAUUGGCAUUUAACGCCACAGACCCGUAAGCAGCAACACUUCAAGAAAACCCUGCUUUGAAUGACGUUAACCUUACACAAGAGCAUUACAGGAACGAUUAAAAGAAGUGGAAGGAACUCGGCAAACUCUAACCCCGCCUGUUUACCAAAAACAUCGCCUUCUGAAAAAAAUAGAAGGUCCAGCCUGCCCAGUGACCAAGUUAAACGGCCGCGGUACCCUAACCGUGCGAAGGUAGCGCAAUCACUUGUUCUUUAAAUGAGGACUAGUAUGAACGGCAUCACGAGGGUUACACUGUCUCCCACCUCUAAUCAGUUAAACUAAUCCCCCCGUGAAGAAGCGGGGAUACAAAUAUAAGACGAGAAGACCCCAUGGAGCUUUAAACCCAGCACCAAUUAUCUAUAAUUACACCUUAAAAGCCUGAUAAUACUGACUGCCGGUUUUAGGUUGGGGUGACCACGGAGUACAACACAACCUCCAUGAUGAAAGGCCCUCCCUUUAAUCCAAGAGUAACAACUCUAAGAAUCAAAAACUGACAUACAUUGACCCAAAUACUUUGAUCAACGAACCAAGUUACCCUGGGGAUAACAGCGCAAUCCAUUUCAAGAGCUCCUAUCGACAAAUGGGUUUACGACCUCGAUGUUGGAUCAGGGUAUCCUAGUGGUGCAGCCGCUACUAAAGGUUCGUUUGUUCAACGAUUAAAACCCUACGUGAUCUGAGUUCAGACCGGAGUAAUCCAGGUCGGUUUCUAUCUAUAAAGUGUUUUUCCUAGUACGAAAGGACCGGAAUAACAUGGCCAAUGAAUAAUCAAGCCAUAGCUGUAAUGUAAUGACCCCCUAUUUAAUUAAUAUCAGCCUACAAUUUUUCUCAAGAUAAGAGAU